UACGUAGGGACCAAGCGUUGUUCGGAUUUACUGGGCGUAAAGGGCGCGUAGGCGGCGUGUUAAGUCACUUGUGAAAUCUCUGAGCUUAACUCAGAACGGUCAAGUGAUACUGAUGUGCUAGAGUGCAGAAGGGGCAACCGGAAUUCUUGGUGUAGCGGUGAAAUGCGUAGAUAUCAAGAGGAACACCUGAGGUGAAGACGGGUUGCUGGGCUGACACUGACGCUGAGGCGCGAAAGCUAGGGUAGCAAACGGG
rnacentral:rRNA from 2 species